rnacentral:tRNA from 1 species
GGUUCCAUAGUGUAGGAGUUAGCACUACCGCUUUACACGCAGGAGAUCCUGGGUUCACGCCCCAGUGGAGCCA